ensembl:snRNA U6 U6 spliceosomal RNA
GUGCUCGCUUUGGCAGCACAUAUAUUAAAAUUGGAAUGAUAGAAGAUUAGCAUGGCUUCUGCUCAAGGAUGACACUCAAAUUCAUGAAGCAUUUUCCAUAUUU